rnacentral:rRNA from 1 species
UACGUAGGGGCGAGCGUUGUCCGGAAUGAUUGGGCGUAAAGGGCGCGUAGGCGGCUUGUUAAGUCUGGAGUGGAAGUCCUCUUUUCAAGGGAGGAAUUGCUUUUGGAAACUGGAGGGCUUGAGUGCAGGAGAGGUUAUCGGAAUUCCCGGUGUAGCGGUGAAAUGCGUAGAGAUCGGGAGGAACACCAGUGGCGAAGGCGGGUAACUGGACUGCAACUGACGCUGAGGCGCGAAAGUGUGGGGAGCAAACAGGAUUAGAUAUCCCUGUAGUCCCUGA